rnacentral:pre_miRNA from 1 species
AUACACAUCACUUGGGGGGUCAUGUUAAAAUUCAGAUUCUGAUUUGGUAGGUCAAGGGUGGAACCUGAGAUUUUGCAUUUCUAACAUGCUCCCAGGUGACGCUGCU